rnacentral:lncRNA from 1 species
ACCAGCACCACCACCUCUGACAUGUACUUAAAGUAAGGGGAGAUCUUUCUCUGGUUACUCUGAAGGGAACAAAGGUAUGGUAGCUACACAGGCAAAGCUCACAAAACUGUAGGGGCUCACUCAAGGCUCAGCCUCUCAGGGAUUGCUUUCAGCAAGCCCCUUCCUCAGCAAUUGGUCCACUGCCAGUUCUUGAUGCUGCCAAGCUCUCUGGGCCAAAACCUAACACCAGUCUGUCUUUUAAGUAUGGGGGUGUCAAUUUUCCCUGUAACCUCAAUCUGAUGCAUUGUUCCUCCAGACAGGAGGCUCUCUGUUGCUGCUGAUUGUCUCAGUCUUGCUGUCCUGCCCCCUCAGUCUAGCACUGGGCUUACAGUCUCAGUGGUGGAUGCAGUAAAGAACAAAGACUGGAAGAUCCUGGAAACAUUCUGAAAUUAGCUACCAUUCAUCUUCUGUGGAGAAGUCUCUUAACAGAAAUCAGAAAGUGUCUUGCCGACUUCAUGCAGAUGUGAGAGAGGCAUCAGUGUAUUCUCCGAUUUGGGGAAGAAUAAACUCCUCCAGGCUUAUGAUUAGGCAUGAGAUGCUUCCGUUGUACAUUCAGGGGAGAAUCGUGGGGGUGUGAACCCUUGUGAUAAUCAGUAUAGAAGCUUCCUAGAAUUUGAGCAGAGUCAGCACCUAAUACACAUCAGGUACACUGGGGCCUUCUGUAUUUUGUAAGUGAGUUGUAAAGGGUACGGGGAAUACUCUGGCAUGUUCCCAUCAUUGUUCUUAUGUGUACAGGUAUUUUAAUUUGUUUUCCCUAGGUAGGAUGUUGAACGUUUCUAUUUUUUAUAGAACAAGAAUAAAUACUACUAACUGGACGUUUCAUUCUUUUUCCCAGCAGUCUUGAACCAUCAACGUAAAUAGUUAGAUGGAUAGCCGUCAUGGGUGACUUGAUAAGAUGUUCGAGUUACCAUAGCAAUUAGCUUUCCCAGAUCAUGAGCCCACAAUAAAAAGGAUGAGGAACCUAGAGGGCAAUUUUGUCAGGUUCUUAUCCCCAUAACCAAU